AACUGAAGGCUUCAUGGCUUCAAAGAACGUUCUCUAACUGUAACAUUGCAUUUAACUUCUUAAUUAAGAGAGUGGAGCUUUUCUUCUUGCUUCAUAGCCCACCAGGUGUGGAUCCCAGUGACUUUUGACACUUUCCAAAUAGGGCACCUUCUCUUAGUGCACGAAGAUGUCUUCGAGUUGGUCUCUUGCUGAAGAAAUUCAAGUGAAUAUGCUCUAAGAUUUGCAGCUGUCCUAGGGAGAAGGAGCAGGAAUGAUCCCAAUCAUCGCUUUGUUACUCUGGUAUACCUCAAGCUUCCCCAGGUGGCUAUCAAGAUUUAUAAGGUGCCUCAUCUCUUUCCCCCCAGGCCUGCUCCAUUUCCCUGAAUAUGAGGCAUGA
rnacentral:lncRNA from 12 species